rnacentral:piRNA from 2 species
CACAAAUGGAAAAAAAUGUGUCAGCAGGC